GUCCACCCCGUAAACGUUGGGAACUAGUUGUGGGGUCCAUUCCACGGAUUCCGUGACGCAGCUAACGCAUUAAGUUCCCCGCCUGGGGAGUACGGCCGCAAGGCUAAAACUCAAAGGAAUUGACGGGGACCCGCACAAGCGGCGGAGCAUGCGGAUUAAUUCGAUGCAACGCGAAGAACCUUACCAAGGCUUGACAUAUUCGAGAACACCGUGGAAACACGGGACUCUUUGGACACUCGUAUACAGGUGGUGCAUGGUUGUCGU
rnacentral:rRNA from 1 species